rnacentral:rRNA from 1 species
CCUACGGGGGGCUGCAGUGGGGAAUAUUGGACAAUGGACCAAAAGUCUGAUCCAGCAAUUCUGUGUGCACGAUGACGGUCUUAGGAUUGUAAAGUGCUUUCAAUCGGGAAAAAGAAAGUGAUGGUACCGAUAGAAGAAGCGACGGCUAAAUACGUGCCAGCAGCCGCGGUAAUACGUAUGUCGCAAGCGUUAUCCGGAUUUAUUGGGCGUAAAGCGCGUCUAGGCGGUCUGGUAAGUCUGAUGUGGAAAUGCGGGGCUCAACUCCGUAUUGCGUUGGAAACUGCCAGACUAGAGUACUGGAGAGGUGGGCGGAACUACAAGUGUAGAGGUGAAAUUCGUAGAUAUUUGUAGGAAUGCCGAUAGAGAAGUCAGCUCACUGGACAGAUACUGACGCUGAAGCGCGAAAGCAUGGGGAGCAAACAGGAUUAGAUACCCGGGUAGUC